GAUGAAGAACGCAGUGAAAUGCGAUAAGUAAUGUGAAUUGCAGAAUUCAGUGAAUCAUCGAAUCUUUGAACGCACAUUGCGCCCGCCAGUAUUCUGGCGGGCAUGCCUGUUCGAGCGUCAUUUCAACCAUCAAGCCCCAGGCUUGUGUUGGGGACCUGCGGCUGCCGCGGGCCCUGAAAACCAGUGGCGGGCUCGCUGUCACACCGGGCGUAGUAGAUUUUAUCUCGCUCUGGGCGUGCUGCGGGUUCCGGCCGUUAAAAAACCCUUUUAACCCAAGGUUGACCUCGGAUCAGGUAGGAAUACCCGCUGAACUUAAGCAUAUCAAUAAGCGGAGGA
rnacentral:misc_RNA from 1 species